rnacentral:piRNA from 1 species
UGAGAAAUGCCUAGACUUCAGAAG